UCUCAAGAUCGCUCUUGUUAUCGCUCCAAGCUGAUUCAAGAACCGCAUUAAAACCAGCUUUCUCUUGCUGAAUUCUCCAGAUGGCCGUUUUUGUUUGUUACUUUUUGUCUCAAAACAGCCGCUGAUAGAUUAUUUUUCACGUUAAAAGUGUUAUUUUCAGGUAAAAUCAAAGAUAAAAAAAGUAUGUUAUUGCGGCAAGUUCUGAAAGAUAAAUGAUAUCGCAACAAGCUGAAAUGAUAUUCUUAUUUUAAGUCAGUUUUCCCAUCAGUAUUCAUACGUAAAUCAACGCAUAUCACUCUUUCACCUAAACCGGAACUGGUCAAAUGAUAAUAGAAUGCCAAAUGAAAUAUUUGAUACUUUUAUUUUGAGAAAAUAUGACAUUGGAUUAUACAUUUUACAGGUCCUUUCACUAUCGAACUAGCCGGAAGACUGUUUGCAAUCUGGUGGACAAAGCAACAAGCAGAUGACAGAUCGAUACAACGUGUGUCCACUAAUAAGCGUUGUACAUUGGAAGACAGGGACCUCGACUUUGAUCUCUCAGAGAGAACUAGGGUCUUGUGCAUGAAAAAAGUAGCUAAAGUGAGCCUAGACAGGAAUGCUGUUAAAUGGGACCCCUUUGUGUUCGAUGGGACAGCAGUGCAAGGCAGAAUGAAAGCCAACUAUGAUCCCUCUGAGCGUUAGAACUGGACUCGAAACUGAUGAUACACAACAUGUUUGCGUGUUACUUGACUGCCUUUCGACUAAAAAUUCAAGGCUGCUGACAUAGGACGUUUCUUUCAAAAUUCUAUUUUAGACAUUUGUCAUGAGUCAAUAGACCAAGUUUGAAGACAUUUUGUAUGUUUGAAAUUUAAGUUAUUACACAGUUAACUCUCGUAAGCCUUUAAGGCUAUGUAUCCUGAUGUAGACUGGACUUUUCCUGAGUCAGUUCGUUUAAACAUUUGUAAUAUUUUACAACUUACAUAUUCCAGAGCUUUCAGCUUCAUUUUUAUUAGUUUUAAAGACAUGUAACUUCAUGUAUAAUCAUACGUAAACAAGAUAAAACUCACACUUAUCAUAUGAUUGUAAAAUAAUGUAUCAUUUCCCGAAAAUUCGUUCCUAUGAAUAUUUGGUUUUUACAUAUACAUGUACCUUGUCUCUACAUUGAAAGUAAGAAAUCCUGCUCUUUCUGAAACAAUAGUUCAUGAUGUGUUAAAAGAACUUUUACAUUAAUUUUGUAAACUUUAAAGAUGUGUUUAUAGUAUCUUAAAUAUGUAUAUUAUUUCUGUAAUGAUGGAUUUCGAAUAAAAUCAGACGCUUACACCAGUUUUGCCAAUGAAUGUAAAUGUAACAUACGAUAUUAAAAUUUUAUAUUUCGAAACUUCAAAAAAAUUUCUUCCAGUAACUGCUCCACAUGUCAAAGCAUGGUUGUAUCAAUUGCAAACUAUUUCCUCUGUAUUACAAUUCCUAGAAUUUUAAAGGUGUGUAUAUAUCCACUAUAUUUUUAGCUACUGAAAAAGUGGAAUGAAUUUUUUUUGAACAUUCAUUUUAUAUUUACUUUGCAAAAUAAUGCCAGAAUUGUUUAGCUAUUGAUCGCUUUAGCUUGUUUUUCUUAAAGACCCAAUGUUUAUCUGUAAAUAAAAGCGAACAAGGCUUAAUAUAUCAACAGUACGUUUUCUUUUCUGAAAAUAGAAAGACUACGUUAAUACUUCUUAAUCCCGUAAUUCUGAUUUUGCAUUACAAGAAGUAUGAAGUCAAUUUGUUUGUUUGUUAAAGAAGGCUGAGUAAAGUAAAUUUCAACCAAUGAAUUCCAUCAUAUACACAAUACACUUAAGGACAUUUCCGUUACAAUAUACACCCGGAAAUAAACGAAAUAAACUGCACUCAUGGCCUAAAAUGAUAUGCUUAUAAACGUUUAUUUCUGGGUGUAUAUUUUUGUAACGGAAAUGUCCUAAAGUGUAUUGUGUAUAUGAUGGAAUUCAUUGGUUGAAAUUUAAUUUACUCAGCCUGGCGGCAAAUAGAAGCAUUUUUUUCACCUCACGUAAAAGAUCUAAUGCAGAUCGUAAAAGAUCUAAAGGCCAUUUUGGGAAGCAGUGCAAGGGCAUGGGCGAUUUUUCAAGCGUGUGUGUGUUCAAGCGUGCAUGUGAGUGGGCGAUGUAUUAGACGGAUUGUUGACGUCUGGCCAAUUGUGACUGUAUUUAAUGACUACUGCAACAAAACUUAUACUUUGAACUAUCAAAUACUGGCAUUAAUCAAAUCGUGGUAAAUCACAGAACAAAUUACAAACAUAAGAACUGUAAAUGUUUUAUUAGUCUUCUUUGACGACUAACCUUUAAUCUUGUAACAUGAUAAUAAUAGCCCCACGAAUAUACCGCUCUACAUUAACAUAUAAACAGAUUUAUUUUGCUUCAAAGCCGCUGAUUUAUCCUGAAAAUCACGCUCAAGCCGUCGUCGCACAUAAAUGCUUCAGUUUGUUGCGAUAGCAUUUAUCUUUUAGAACUACGUGCUAGAGCAUACUUUUAAGCUUGUUGCGAUAUCAAUUAUCUUUCAGAACUUGCCGCAAUAGCAUACUUUUUUAUCUCUGGGUUUACUUGAAAAUAACACUUUUAACGUGAAAAAUAAUCUAUCAGCGGCUGUUAUGAGACAAAAAGUAACAAACAAAAACGGCCAUCUGGAGAAUUCAGCAAGAGAAAGCUGGUUUUAAUGCGGUUCUUGAAUCAGCUUGGAGCGAUAACAAGAGCGAUCUUGAGAUUUUGGUCAGUUUGUCCCGUUUUCCAGCCAAACUAAAGCAAACACGGGCAGAUGCAGUAUGAUCGGAGGUACGCAUUUAUAAACGGACUUGCAACAUACUAAAGACAUUUUACAAAACUUCGUAACAAAAUACUUACGACGAAUUUUCUUCUCGAAUCGACGCUUUGUUGACAAAAAAUGCUUGGCGCGAUACCUACAGCAUGACGUCAUAGACCACGUAAUUGUGCACCGUGAGAUAUAAACUAUACAUCUAUCUAAAUGUAGCCGAGGGUGGUAGUAGGAUUUUUUUGAAUUUUUAAAAUAUCUUUAAUAAUGUCAAUUUUUUUACCCUGUACUCCUCCGUGCCAUCCACCACCUCUCCCCCUCCCUCACCCCCACAAUAUUUUGGCAAUAACACUCAUACUAUUUACAGAUGGUCAAUUUAUGAAAUUUCUUGCAUGUUUCCAAACAUACGUUUUAAUAACAAAUGUUCAACAAAAUCGAACAAUGCAACGACCCAUUUUUAGAAAUUUCAUAUAUGCACCAUUUGUAAUCUGAAAGAUAUUGCCAAAAUACCAAGGGGCGUUAGUAAAUAUGAACAAUCAGUUAAAUGCUACUUUUCUUACCAAAGUUAAAAUCUACAUCAACAUUAAUUGUAUGAUUUAUUAUUGAUAUAUAUCUGUAUCAUCAAAAAUAGCUCUCA
rnacentral:lncRNA from 1 species